AUCCACUGCAGGCCCCACUCACCAUGUUAGCAUGGAGAUUUAGGUUACCUAAGAAUAUUUCCCUGAAGUCAAUACUGUUCUGUCAUAGAGAGUUUGUAGUAGAUGAAGCUUGCUACAACAGCUUUGUGUACAUUCUCAUUUCCCAACAGGCAACAGGAUUAAUAGCUACAAUGGAGAUAGAAAACAAGUAUGUGUUUGCCUGGAUGCACAUUUGAAGUAAUGAUUUUCAUUUUUGCACAAACAGGAAAAUGGAACAAACAUGAUCACCACAUCUGCAAUGUGAGGUGUCAGUACUAUUGUAACUCAGAGAUAAUGUCCUGCAGUAUGCUGAGUGUGCUCUUAGAGAAGAAAAAAGCCUUCAGAGAAACAAGCCUACAUUUGCUGCUAUAUCAGGCAAACCACCAGGAUGGAUCCCAGCAACAAGCUAAAAUGCUGCAGUCUGCAAACAUUGUAAUCUGGGAUUAUACCUAUGUUGGAUUAUCCAACUGGCAAACCAGUUAUGGAAAUUAAUUUUUAUAUCAGAUUCCUGUGAUUCAUUUACAGUGACGCUGUUAAAAAAAGCACAUAUAUUGGUUAAUGUCCUUGUGAGAAUGGAAAUUAAACUUUUGUUUUGUUUUGUUUUGUUUUGUUUUAACACAGCACGAAACAUUGUUUGGCCUCAGACAUAGGAAACAUGGAUUUAAAUUAAAGGAAAGGUAUUAGUAAUAAAUACAUUCCACACAGAUUUAUCUCUUCUUCC
rnacentral:lncRNA from 1 species